rnacentral:rRNA from 1 species
UGCCAGCCGCCGCGGUAAUACGGAGGGGGUUAGCGUUGUUCGGAAUUACUGGGCGUAAAGCGCGCGUAGGCGGAUUGGAAAGUUGGGGGUGAAAUCCCGAGGCCCUACCUCGGAACUGCCUCCAAAACUCCCAGUCUAGAGUACGAUAGAGGGAGGUAGAAUUCACAGUGUAGCGGUGGAAUGCGUAGAUAUUGUGAAGAAUACCAAUGGCGAAGGCAGCCUCCUGGAUCUGUACUGACACUGAGGUGCGAAAGCGUGGGUAGCGAACAGGAUUAGAUA